AGUGUUUCUGCAUAUUUCAUAACAUAAAUAAACAAUACAGAGAAAAUUAGCAUGGCCCCGGCACAAGGAUGACAUGCAAAUUCGUGAAGUGUUCCAUCUUUUU
ensembl:snRNA U6 U6 spliceosomal RNA